UACGAAGGGUGCAAGCGUUAAUCGGAAUUACUGGGCGUAAAGGGUGCGUAGGCGGUUCGUUAAGUCUGUCGUGAAAUCCCCGGGCUCAACUUGGGAAUUGCAAUGGAUACUGGCAGGCUGGAGUAUGGUAGAGGAAGGUGGAAUUCCCGGUGUAGCAGUGAAAUGCGUAGAGAUCGGGAGGAACACCAGUGGCGAAGGCGGCCUUCUGGACCAAUACUGACGCUCAUGCACGAAAGCGUGGGGAGCAAACAGG
rnacentral:rRNA from 1 species